GUAGAACCUACACUGAGCUGAUUGGGGCAUACUUUAGAGUAGAUCUCAUAGAGAAGGCAAUGGAAAUGUAUGAACUGAUGAAGAUAUCUGGAUUCUGCCCGGAUAAGUUGACUAUGAGUAUUUUGAUAAGGAACCUUGAAAAGGCUGAAGAGAAAGAACUUGUGGUUAGAGUAAAGAAUGAAUGUGCCAACUAUAUUGACUAUCCAGAGAAAUUUCUAAAAGAAAUUGAAAGUACCAAUUUCAAGCGCAGAUCGAUCGACCUUGUCUGAAUUCUUGAAAUGAUAUACAAAAGCUUACGAGUAUUACCCCUUUUGUGGCAUUUGGAGACGUAUAAACUAUUGGAAAGCAAGAGCACGGUAGGCUAUUGUUG
rnacentral:misc_RNA from 1 species